rnacentral:tRNA from 1 species
UUUAUCUUGGUGUAAAGCACGUAAAAUUUUGAUUUUUAAGGAAGUAUUAUUUAGGUAAAU